rnacentral:rRNA from 1 species
AUUGAACGCUGGCGGCAGGCCUAACACAUGCAAGUCGAGCGGAUGAAGGGAGCUUGCUCCUGGAUUCAGCGGCGGACGGGUGAGUAAUGCCUAGGAAUCUGCCUGGUAGUGGGGGAUAACGUCCGGAAACGGGCGCUAAUACCGCAUACGUCCUGAGGGAGAAAGUGGGGGAUCUUCGGACCUCACGCUAUCAGAUGAGCCUAGGUCGGAUUAGCUAGUUGGUGGGGUAAAGGCCUACCAAGGCGACGAUCCGUAACUGGUCUGAGAGGAUGAUCAGUCACACUGGAACUGAGACACGGUCCAGACUCCUACGGGAGGCAGCAGUGGGGAAUAUUGGACAAUGGGCGACAGCCUGAUCCAGCCAUGCCGCGUGUGUGAAGAAGGUCUUCGGAUUGUAAAGCACUUUAAGUUGGGAGGAAGGGCAGUAAGUUAAUACCUUGCUGUUUUGCCGUUACCAACAGAAUAAGCACCGGCUAACUUCCUG